GAUGAACGCUGGCGGCGUGCCUAAUACAUGCAAGUCGAGCGAACAGACGAGGAGCUUGCUCCUCUGACGUUAGCGGCGGACGGGUGAGUAACACGUGGAUAACCUACCUAUAAGACUGGGAUAACUUCGGGAAACCGGAGCUAAUACCGGAUAAUAUAUUGAACCGCAUGGUUCAAUAGUGAAAGACGGUUUUGCUGUCACUUAUAGAUGGAUCCGCGCCGCAUUAGCUAGUUGGUAAGGUAACGGCUUACCAAGGCAACGAUGCGUAGCCGACCUGAGAGGGUGAUCGGCCACACUGGAACUGAGACACGGUCCAGACUCCUAUGGGAGGCGGCAGUAGGGAAUCUUCCGCAAUGGGCGAAAGCCUGACGGAGCAACGCCGCGUGAGUGAUGAAGGUCUUCGGAUCGUAAAACUCUGUUAUUAGGGAAGAACAAAUGUGUAAGUAACUAUGCACGUCUUGACGGUACCUAAUCAGAAAGCCACGGCUAACUACGUG
rnacentral:rRNA from 1 species